UACGGGGGGGGCAAGCGUUGUUCGGAAUUACUGGGCGUAAAGGGCGCGUAGGCGGUUUGCUAAGUUGAAUGUGAAAACUCUGGGCUUAACCCAGAGCCUGCAUUCAAUACUGGCAGCUGGAGUUCUGGAGGGGAUAGCGGAAUUCCUGGUGUAGCGGUGAAAUGCGUAGAUAUCAGGAGGAACACCGGUGGCGAAGGCGGCUAUCUGGACAGAAACUGACGCUGAGGCGCGAAAGCUAGGGGAGCAAACAGG
rnacentral:rRNA from 1 species